rnacentral:rRNA from 1 species
AUUGAACGCUGGCGGCAUGCCUUACACAUGCAAGUCGAACGGUAACAGGUCUUCGGAUGCUGACGAGUGGCGAACGGGUGAGUAAUACAUCGGAACGUGCCUAGUAGUGGGGGAUAACUACUCGAAAGAGUGGCUAAUACCGCAUGAGAUCUACGGAUGAAGGCAGGGGAUCGCAAGACCCUGUGCUACUAGAGCGGCCGAUGGCAGAUUAGGUAGUUGGUGGGAUAAAAGCUUACCAAGCCGACGAUCUGUAGCUGGUCUGAGAGGACGAUCAGCCACACUGGGACUGAGACACGGCCCAGACUCCUACGGGAGGCAGCAGUGGGGAAUUUUGGACAAUGGGCGCAAGCCUGAUCCAGCAAUGCCGCGUGCAGGAUGAAGGCCUUCGGGUUGUAAACUGCUUUUGUACGGAACGAAAAGCCCUGGGUUAAUACCCUGGGGUCAUGACGGUACCGUAAGAAUAAGCACCGGCUAACUACGUGCCAGCCGCCGCCGUAAGAC